rnacentral:rRNA from 1 species
UACGUAGGGCGCAAGCGUUGUCCGGAAUCAUUGGGCGUAAAGGGCGCGCAGGUGGUUCUGUAUGUCUGCCGUGAAAGCAUACAGCUCAACUGUAUUGUGUCGGUAGAAACUGCAGGACUUGAGGCUGGGAGGGGCUGGUGGAAUUCCCUGUGUAGCGGUGAAAUGCGUAGAGAUGGGGGAGAACACUCGUGGCGAAGGCGGCCAGCUAGGCCAGGUCUGACACUGAGGCGCGACAGCGUGGGGAGCAAACAGG